CAGGUUACUUCUGAUGUGGAUGAAUUCAGCCAGAUCAAUAAAGGUUACUUCUGAUGUGGAUGAAUUCAGCCAGAUCAAUAAAGGUUUAUUCUGACGUGGAUGAAUUCAGCCAGAUCAAUACAGGUUCCUUCUGACGUGGAUGAAUUCAGCCAGAUCAAUAAAGGUUUAUUCUGACGUGGACGAAUUCAGCCAGAUCAAUACAGGUUACUUCUGACUUGGACGAAUUCAGCCAGAUCAAUACAGGUUCCUUCUGACGUGGAUGAAUUCAGCCAUAUCAAUACAGGUUACUUCUGACGUGGAUGAAUUCAGCCAGAUCAAUAAAGGUUUAUUCUGACGUGGAUGAAUUCAGCCAGAUCAAUAACGGUUCAUUCUGACGUGGAUGAAUUCAGCCAGAUCAAUACAGGUUCAUUCUGACGUGGAUGAAUUCAGCCAGAUCAAUAAAGGUUUAUUCUGACGUGGACGAAUUCAGCCAGAUCAAUACAAGUUACUUCUGACGUGGACGAAUUCAGCCAGAUCAAUACAGGUUCCUUCUGACGUGGAUGAAUUCAGC
rnacentral:lncRNA from 1 species